rnacentral:lncRNA from 1 species
AGGUUGCGCGUGGCUCGGAAACGGUUUAUUCAGUGUUGUUGGAUGGAAGAAGUCUAUGUGAAUGGUUGCUAUGGUUUUUUCAUGGAGGUUAUUUGGUUUGUUGUAUAUAAUAGCGGAAAAAGCAAAGGAAAAAAAGGUUAAGGUUGUGUGGUUGUUUCGGAUCGGUUUCUAGUGAUUUUUCGGUGAGAUUCAUUUCUCACUUCUCCUUAUAUUUUUUGUUCUCUUAUGCUUAGUGUGAAAACUGUUGUAGUGGAUCGUGUUCAGUGGAAUAGUGAGGUUGAUAUGGUUGUUUCUGUUAUGGUUUGUUGUGAGUGAAACGUAGAGAAGUUUUUGUAUGUGUUUACUGGUCAAGAGUU